UACGUAGGGUGCGAGCGUUGUCCGGAAUUAUUGGGCGUAAAGGGCUCGUAGGCGGUUUGUCGCGUCGGGAGUGAAAACUCAGGGCUUAACCCUGAGCCUGCUUCCGAUACGGGCAGACUAGAGGUAUGCAGGGGAGAACGGAAUUCCUGGUGUAGCGGUGAAAUGCGCAGAUAUCAGGAGGAACACCGGUGGCGAAGGCGGUUCUCUGGGCAUUACCUGACGCUGAGGCACGAAAGCGUGGGGAUCAAACAGG
rnacentral:rRNA from 1 species